UCAGAUUACUGUUACUAACGGUUACUAACUGGGAGACAGAGGACAUUCAGAUUACUGUUACUAACGGUUACUAACUGGGAGACAGAGGACAUUCAGAUUACUGUUACUAACGGUUACUAACUGGGAGACAGAGGACAUUCAGAUUACUGUUACUAACGGUUACUAACUGGGAGACAGAGGACAUUCAGAUUACUGUUACUAACGGUUACUAACUGGGAGACAGAGGACAUUCAGAUUACUGUUACUAACGGUUACUAACUGGGAGACAGAGGACAUUCAGAUUACUGUUACUAACGGUUACUAACUGGGAGACAGAGGACAUUCAGAUUACUGUUACUAACGGUUACUAACUGGGAGA